rnacentral:rRNA from 1 species
UGAUCCUGGCUCCAGGAUGAACGCUGGCGGCGUGCUUAACACAUGCAAGUCGAACGAUGAAGCCCAGCUUGCUGGGUGGAUUAGUGGCGAACGGGUGAGUAACACGUGAGUAACCUGCCCUUAACUCUGGGGAUAAGCCUGGGAAACUGGGUCUAAUACCGGAUAGGAGCGUCCACCGCAUGGUGGGUGUUGGAAAGAUUUAUCGGUUUUGGAUGGACUCGCGGCCUAUCAGCUUGUUGGUGAGGUAAUGGCUCACCAAGGCGACGACGGGUAGCCGGCCUGAGAGGGUGACCGGCCACACUGGGACUGAGACACGGCCCAGACUCCUACGGGAGGCAGCAGUGGGGAAUAUUGCACAAUGGGCGCAAGCCUGAUGCAGCGACGCCGCGUGAGGGAUGACGGCCUUCGGGUUGUAAACCUCUUUCAGUAGGGAAGAAGCGAAAGUGACGGUACCUGCAGAAGAAGCACCGGCUAACUACGUGCCAGCAGCCGCGGUAAUACGUAGGGUGCGAGCGUUAUCCGGAAUUAUUGGGCGUAAAGAGCUCGUAGGCGGUUUGUCGCGUCUGUCGUGAAAGUCCGGGGCUUAACCCCGGAUCUGCGGUGGGUACGGGCAGACUAGAGUGCAGUAGGGGAGACUGGAAUUCCUGGUGUAGCGGUGGAAUGCGCAGAUAUCAGGAGGAACACCGAUGGCGAAGGCAGGUCUCUGGGCUGUAACUGACGCUGAGGAGCGAAAGCAUGGGGAGGCGAACAGGAUUAGAUACCC